rnacentral:lncRNA from 1 species
UGCUGUUUCCGACCUCCAUGAGUUUUUGAGGUAUCGUCGAGCUCUAGACGUUAAAUUAAGCACUUGUUGGGAGGUAACCCAACUGUUUUUCUUUGUUUUGUUUUCCUUUCUUUUAGUUUCGUUUUGUUUCUUUUUGUUUUGUCUUGUUCCUUUUUGUUUCGUUGUUUUGUUUGGGUUUUUGGUACAGCGUGAGCUUGGAAGAUGCGGAAACUCGCGCCUUGUCCAUAUCACCACCAUGGAGCAUGUGUUUCUGUGAGUAGUGACACACAUAUCAUCAUCCCUCCAAACUUAUUUUCGAACUUAUGUUCUGUAAUAAGUUUGGGGGAGGGGGGUGAGAGUAGAUAUGUGUAUCACUUUUAUUCUUUUUGUUAGUUUUAUUGUUUUAUCCUACUUGGUUGGUGGUGUGUGAUUGUUUUUUUUGAGAUGAUUAUUGCUCCAUUAGAUUUCUGGUGAGAUGCCAAUGAUGAUUUCUGUGAAAAAAAAAAUUUGGAGUUUGAUUUUCUUUGAUGAUUUAAGUAUAACUGGAACUAAUUUGCAUAAUUCUAGAGUGAUUUUAACCUUGACUUUUGGACGUUGAAUAAACCUGUGAGAUUUUGAGCCAUAACUGUUUAUCAUACACAGUUUAUU